rnacentral:rRNA from 1 species
GAGUCUUAACUGGGCGUUAAGUUGCAGGGUAUAGACCCGAAACCCGGUGAUCUAGCCAUGGGCAGGUUGAAGGUUGGGUAACACUAACUGGAGGACCGAACCGACUAAUGUUGAAAAAUUAGCGGAUGACUUGUGGCUGGGGGUGAAAGGCCAAUCAAACCGGGAGAUAGCUGGUUCUCCCCGAAAGCUAUUUAGGUAGCGCCUCGUGAAUUCAUCUCCGGGGGUAGAGCACUGUUUCGGCAAGGGGGUCAUCCCGACUUACCAACCCGAUGCAAACUGCGAAUACCGGAGAAUGUUAUCACGGGAGACACACGGCGGGUGCUAACGUCCGUCGUGAAGAGGGAAACAACCCAGACCGCCAGCUAAGGUCCCAAAGUCAUGGUUAAGUGGGAAACGAUGUGGGAAGGCCCAGACAGCCAGGAUGUUGGCUUAGAAGCAGCCAUCAUUUAAAGAAAGCGUAAUAGCUCACUGGUCGAGUCGGCCUGCGCGGAAGAUGUAACGGGGCUAAACCAUGCACCGAAGCUGCGGCAGCGACGCUUAUGCGUUGUUGGGUAGGGGAGCGUUCUGUAAGCCUGUGAAGGUGUGCUGUGAGGUAUGCUGGAGGUAUCAGAAGUGCGAAUGCUGACAUAAGUAACGAUAAAGCGGGUGAAAAGCCCGCUCGCCGGAAGACCAAGGGUUCCUGUCCAACGUUAAUCGGGGCAGGGUGAGUCGACCCCUAAGGCGAGGCCGAAAGGCGUAGUCGAUGGGAAACAGGUUAAUAUUCCUGUACUUGGUGUUACUGCGAAGGGGGGACGGAGAAGGCUAUGUUGGCCGGGCGACGGUUGUCCCGGUUUAAGCGUGUAGGCUGGUUUUCCAGGCAAAUCCGGAAAAUCAAGGCCGAGGCGUGAUGACGAGGCACUACGGUGCUGAAGCAACAAAUGCCCUGCUUCCAGGAAAAGCCUCUAAGCAUCAGGUAACAUCAAAUCGUACCCCAAACCGACACAGGUGGUCAGGUAGAGAAUACCAAGGCGCUUGAGAGAACUCGGGUGAAGGAACUAGGCAAAAUGGUGCCGUAACUUCGGGAGAAGGCACGCUGAUACGUAGGUGAAGCGACUUGCUCGUGGAGCUGAAAUCAGUCGAAGAUACCAGCUGGCUGCAACUGUUUAUUAAAAACACAGCACUGUGCAAACACGAAAGUGGACGUAUACGGUGUGACGCCUGCCCGGUGCCGGAAGGUUAAUUGAUGGGGUUAGCGCAAGCGAAGCUCUUGAUCGAAGCCCCGGUAAACGGCGGCCGUAACUAUAACGGUCCUAAGGUAGCGAAAUUCCUUGUCGGGUAAGUUCCGACCUGCACGAAUGGCGUAAUGAUGGCCAGGCUGUCUCCACCCGAGACUCAGUGAAAUUGAACUCGCUGUGAAGAUGCAGUGUACCCGCGGCAAGACGGAAAGACCCCGUGAACCUUUACUAUAGCUUGACACUGAACAUUGAGCCUUGAUGUGUAGGAUAGGUGGGAGGCUUUGAAGUGUGGACGCCAGUCUGCAUGGAGCCGACCUUGAAAUACCACCCUUUAAUGUUUGAUGUUCUAACGUGGACCCGUGAUCCGGGUUGCGGACAGUGUCUGGUGGGUAGUUUGACUGGGGCGGUCUCCUCCUAAAGAGUAACGGAGGAGCACGAAGGUUGGCUAAUCCUGGUCGGACAUCAGGAGGUUAGUGCAAUGGCAUAAGCCAGCUUGACUGCGAGCGUGACGGCGCGAGCAGGUGCGAAAGCAGGUCAUAGUGAUCCGGUGGUUCUGAAUGGAAGGGCCAUCGCUCAACGGAUAAAAGGUACUCCGGGGAUAACAGGCUGAUACCGCCCAAGAGUUCAUAUCGACGGCGGUGUUUGGCACCUCGAUGUCGGCUCAUCACAUCCUGGGGCUGAAGUAGGUCCCAAGGGUAUGGCUGUUCGCCAUUUAAAGUGGUACGCGAGCUGGGUUUAGAACGUCGUGAGACAGUUCGGUCCCUAUCUGCCGUGGGCGCUGGAGAACUGAGGGGGGCUGCUCCUAGUACGAGAGGACCGGAGUGGACGCAUCACUGGUGUUCGGGUUGUCAUGCCAAUGGCACUGCCCGGUAGCUAAAUGCGGAAGAGAUAAGUGCUGAAAGCAUCUAAGCACGAAACUUGCCCCGAGAUGAGUUCUCCCUGACCCUUUAAGGGUCCUGAAGGAACGUUGAAGACGACGACGUUGAUAGGCCGGGUGUGUAAGCGCAGCGAUGCGUUGAGCUAACCGGUACUAAUGAACCGUGAGGCUUAACCUUACAACGCCGAAG